rnacentral:lncRNA from 1 species
UCACAAUGUUUUUAUGAGCUCUCUACUUGAUAGCUAAAUAUUCCAUUUUCUUUUUUGUUCCAGGUUGUUCGUAUAUUUAUUGGAUAGUCUGAACAUCUGCACUUCCCGAAUUUCAUAGGAUACUAAUUAAGCCGCGCAACAAUGCUCAGGAAAAGAAGCUGAAUUUCCUGAAGUGACGGUUGGGAUUGUGGCUGAUCCCCCCUUGGACGGAAAAGGCGUAGAGAAGGCGAUCCAGGAUCAGCGCACAUCUUAACCGUGGAGUGACUCGCUUCGAAAAUGAGAUAAAAUUAUGUGUUCAUCCUAGUCAUGGCGUCACCACCGAUUCCACAUGAUCCGCGACGUGCAACAUGAAACACAGCGUUUAUAGGAACACUAUCUUAUGAGGUGAGUCCCUAUAAUCCUCUUCCAGUCAGUAAAAACUACUCGGACAUCUCGAGGGGUCAGUU